CAAACAACCUUAUUUUACAUGGAAUCCCAGUUUCCUCUCCCUCCCAUCAUCCCAUGCUCCCCCACCAUCCACUCCCCAGGGAGAGUGAGGCCCUCCAUGGGGGAUCAUCUUGUGGAGAAAGGGGAACAUUCUUCUAUUGCUGGUGGGAAGCAAACUUGUACAGCCAUUUUGGAAAUCAGUAUGUUGGUUUUUCAGGAAAAUGGGUAUCAGUCUACCACAAGAUCCAGCAAUCCCACUCGUAGGCAUAUACCCAAAGGAUGCACAUUCCUACAACAAGGACAUAUGUUCAACGAUGUUCAUAGCAGCAUUAUUUGUAAUAGUCAGAACCUGGAAGUAGCCUAGAUGCCCCUCAACCGAAGAACAGAUAAAGAAAAUGUGGUACAUUUACACAAUGGAGUACUACUCAGUGGCAAAAAAAAAAAAAUGAAAUCUUGAAAUUCACAGGCAAAUGGAUGGAACUAGAUGAAACCAUUCUGACUGAGGUAACCCAGACACAGAAAGACAAACAUGGUAUGUGCUCACUCAUAUAUGGAUAUUAGACAUAGGGCAAAGGAUUACCAGCCUACAAUCCAAACCUCUAGGGGACCGUCUACUGCUGGUGGUGUCUAUUCCUGGAGAAGGGUACUCUGUAACUGGCAACUACUCUUUCGUUUUUGGCUCUGGAAAUGAUAGCUACUUCAAGCUCCUACGGCUUAGACUGCCCUGCCAUGAAACUAUAAUCCCUUUCUUCUUUAAGUAUCUUUUAUCCAUGGUACUCUGAUAUAACAAUGGGAAAGAAAUAAAGGAAGAAAACGUUAGCCGUUGCAAAGUGAAUUUUUAAUGUGAAGGACCAGAGAACAGAGAUGGAUCAGGAUGUAUGCCGGGGCCAUCAAGUAUCAAGUACGACUCCUGAGAUGAACUUCAUCCAGAUCUGUCUUCUAAAUGGCCCACAUGCCCCCAAAUCAGUGCCAUUAGCUGGGGAACAAUUGCUCAAGUGCUUUCCCCUAUGGAAGGCAUAAAAUUUGGAACAUAAGUGAAAUCAAAACACACCGAGAAUUACACUGUGCUACAGCCUGCGUUUCUUGUACCUUUUUGGAGUCAUAUUUCUUACAUUAAGAGACUUAAUAUGGUCAUGGCUAAGCUUGUGACAUGAGUCAAAAUAAGAUUUGUGAGGGCAUGAAGGAAGGUAAGACUUCUUACAUAAUAGUUUCCCCCUAUGACUUCAAGGCUGUAUAUUGGUUUCAAAGGAAAGAUAAAUAUCAGUGUUCAAAAUUCUCAGGCAAUUUCAGAAUGUGAGGUUAUUCAUUCUCAUCAUAUUUUCUUUUUGAUUAUUGUGCACCAUGCUGAGUAGAUUCAGACUUAAUUUUGAUCCAUUACGGAUUCCUAAGUUUUUGAGCCAGGCAUAGUUUAGCAUACAUGUUCCCAACAAGCUGCUACCUUUGCUGAUUCUUUCCAGACUAGCAACAUAAAUUAUGCUAUGUAAAUGCUUGGACAUUUGCUUUUCUUUGAG
rnacentral:lncRNA from 1 species